rnacentral:rRNA from 1 species
CAGUCGCCACGGUAAUACGUAGGGUGCAAGCGUUAAUCGGAUUUACUGGGCGUAAAGCGUGCGUAGGCGGCUUCUUAAGUCGGAUGUGAAAUCCCUGAGCUUAACUUAGGAAUUGCAUUCGAUACUGGGAAGCUAGAGUAUGGGAGAGGAUGGUAGAAUUCCAGGUGUAGCGGUGAAAUGCGUAGAGAUCUGGAGGAAUACCAAUGGCGAAGGCAGCCAUCUGGCCUAAUACUGACGCUGAGGUACGAAAGCAUGGGGAGCAAACAGGAUUAGAUACCCCUGUAGUCCCUGUCUCUUAUAA